ensembl:misc_RNA Metazoa_SRP Metazoan signal recognition particle RNA
GCCAGGUGUAGUGGCGUGUACCUGUAGUCCCAGCUACUCAGGAGGCUGAGGUGGGAGGAUCACUUGAGCCUGGGAGGUUGGGGCUACAGUGAGCCAAGAUUGUGCCAGUGUACUCCAGCCUGGGCUACAGAGCAAGACCCUGUCUCAU